CAGCACCUCAAGUGGUCAGGAUGAUUAUUGGGCCUAAAGCAUUCGUAGCCGGCGCUGUAAGUUUUCGGUUAAAUCUGUACGCUCAACGUACAGGCUGCCGGGAAUACUGCAGCGCUAGGGAGUGGGAGAGGUAGACGGUACUCGGUAGGAAGGGGUAAAAUCCUUUGAUCUAUUGAUGACCACCUGUGGCGAAGGCGGUCUACCAGAACACGUCCGACGGUGAGGGAUGAAAGCUGGGGGAGCAAACCGGAUUAGAUACCCGAGUAGUCC
rnacentral:rRNA from 1 species